AACGUAGGAGCCAAGCGUUAUCCGAAUUUACUGGGCGUAAAGCGCGCGCAGGCGGUCCUUUAAGUCUGGUGUGAAAUCUCGCGGCUCAACCGCGAGCGGUCAUUGGAAACUGGGGGACUUGAGUGCAGAAGAGGAAAGCGGAAUUCCACGUGUAGCGGUGAAAUGCGUAGAGAUGUGGAGGAACACCAGUGGCGAAGGCGACUCUCUGGGCUGUAACUGACGCUGAGGCGCGAAAGCGUGGGGAGCAAAC
rnacentral:rRNA from 1 species